GACGAACGCUGGCGGCGUGCUUAACACAUGCAAGUCGAACGGUAAGGCCCUUCGGGGUACACGAGUGGCGAACGGGUGAGUAACACGUGGGUGAUCUGCCCUGCACUUCGGGAUAAGCCUGGGAAACUGGGUCUAAUACCGGAUAGGACCCUGGGAUGCAUGUCCUGGGGUGGAAAGCUUUUGCGGUGUGGGAUGGGCCCGCGGCCUAUCAGCUUGUUGGUGGGGUGAUGGCCUACCAAGGCGACGACGGGUAGCCGGCCUGAGAGGGUGACCGGCCACACUGGGACUGAGGUCCGGCCCAGACUCCUACGGGAGGCAGCAGUGGGGAAUAUUGCACAAUGGGCGCAAGCCUGAUGCAGCGACGCCGCGUGAGGGAUGACGGCCUUCGGGUUGUAAACCUCUUUCAGCACCGACGAAGCGCAAGUGACGGUACCUGCAGAAGAGGCGCCGGCUAACUACGUGCCAGCCGCCGCCGUAA
rnacentral:rRNA from 1 species